GGACUCAGAGGCUUCCAGUCUGAGGAAACAAGAUCAGCUGAGAAGUUGGCCAGGUACAAUGUGACCAGCCGCCUCAAGCUCCUGCUGCUACAACUUCCCUGAUGUGAGAGACUGUGCCCUUGACUGCCUGUGAGCCAAAAUGAAUCCUUCUUUCCUUAAGUAGAUUUGGUUCCAUAUUUUGCCACAGCAACCAAACAGUUAAUACAAACCAUGCUAAAAAACAAGAUCAGGACUCCAGGAGAUUCUGUGUCCCAGCUUUCUUGCUGGGCCCUCUGGUGAUGGAUGGAAGCCAGGGCACUUCCUGCCUCCACCCCAUUUAUAAAGAUGAGUGUGGUGCUUGUGCCUCAUGACAGAAACUUCUCUCUGCAACAGAUGGAGACCACUACAGAAAACCACAGUCGAUUAAGAUUCAGAGUUGUGGAGCUCACUCAAUUGAUACAUCUACAACUCCCACGCGUAAGGCUUAGGGGUCCUUGCAAAAGAGAGGAUGGAAACAUUGUAAGGGCCAGAGUAACAGGAAGUUUGCUGCGGGAUCGUGUCUCCUAGAAACGUCAGAGAAGCUACACCCACAAAUUCUCACCAACAUGGCUGCCUAAACAAGACCAGAGCAAGGACAACAGCAAUAGCCAUGCUAAUGUGGAAGGUAGGAAGCUCAGGAGACCUCAGUCCUAGACAAAGCUAAAAUAAACCCUUUCUCCCCUAAGCUGCUUUUUUAUUCGGGGUAUGUAUCACAGAACUAGAACAGGUGAUAA